rnacentral:rRNA from 1 species
GACGUAGGGUGCAAGCGUUGUCCGGAUUUAUUGGGCGUAAAGAGCUCGUAGGCGGCUUGUUGCGUCGACUGUGAAAACCCGCGGCUUAACCGCGGGCUUGCAGUUGAUACGGGCAGGCUAGAGUUCGGUAGGGGAGACUGGAAUUCCUGGUGUAGCGGUGAAAUGCGCAGAUAUCAGGAGGAACACCGGUGGCGAAGGCGGGUCUCUGGGCCGAUACUGACGCUGAGGAGCGAAAGCGUGGGGAGCGAACUGG